ACUCUUUGGUGCCUGCCACUUCUCUCUUGUAUUUGAAAACUUCUAGGAUGGGUCCUGAUAUUCUGUGUAAAAGUGAGUCCAGGAGGCAGCUGACUUCUCCAAAGAGCUGUGGCAGAUAAAACAUACAGCCAGGAUUUCCAGUCCACUGAACCACAGAACAUAGGAGGGCUCCACUCUGAACAUGUGGCAUGAAGAGGUGGAUUAUCAAUAUGUUAUUAAUAUACCUGGUCACUUGAUCCUGAAAAAUGUACAGAAUCCAUCUUCAUCCUGUUUUUAAUUAAAUUUUCCAUUUGUUCACAAUGCAGGUGGGAUCAUAUCCAAACACUGGAGUGCUGAAAUCUUGAUUACAAGCUUCUACUUCUUGUUCUGGACUCGACUGAAGCUUUUCUGAGGGACAAAUCCUUUUCCUGAAAAAGAAAUCUCUGAACACCAACCUCUCUAUUUUUCCAGGAACAACAAAACACACUUGCUUUGAGUUUUGCAAUUGACAUAAAAGCAUGCGACAGCAGUGUCCAAAAUAAACAGUUAAAUAUAAAAUAUGCACUAGCAGGUUUACCCCUUUGACAAAGCUUGACCUGCCUGUGACAGACCCUAUUCAGGGUGGGCUGUACAUCACCGGUGCCCU